GACUCGGUGGCGAAACGGUAUCGCAUCUGCCCAAUAGGCAGGAGGAUCCCAGUUCGAAUCUGGGCCGAGUCG
rnacentral:tRNA from 1 species